rnacentral:misc_RNA from 1 species
GAAGUGCGAAAAGUGUCAUGACUUGCAGAUUCCCGAGAGCUGACAAAUCUCUGAAUGCAAAUGGCGGACCGGUAAAAACGGCCAUGUAUUGCAGAGUGUAGUUGUUCCUACUCUUCAUCCCCCACAUCUGUGUACACCUCCUGAUACAAUGUGGUGUUUGGGAUCUGCGCUUGCAAUGUAUAUCUCUACACGUUGCGAGUGUUGAAUUGGAGUGUCUACAUGGGUUCUCAGCAAUGGGAAUCACGUGCAGACAGCUUCGCAUUAUCUACACCAUGUGAUGUGUAUUGUGAAGUUGAAUGCUCUCUCCAAUGUUUUUAUACACCUACCUCUGCAAUGCAAGAGAACCCGCUGAACUUAA